UAUUAGCUAAAACAAAUGUUAUGAAUUUAAUAAUUAGAACUAUUUUCAACUUAGUUUCAACUUAUGGCCCAAGAAAAUAGAAGUCAGAAUCAAAAUCCAGCAUGCAGAACUUGUUGUAAAAUAUGGCAGUACAGACUCUCAAAAAGUACCAGAAGUAACUCAUGAGUAAGUUACUCAACCAAGAAAAGCACAUAGAACAGCAUAGAGAUUGCCUUAAGGAAGAAGCUACUGCUGCUGCCAUUCUGCAUUGGGAAGCUCAUCAAACACAUCAUGGGUAUUAUAGGACUUGCCACAUUGGUCUUUGCUAGCUUCAAUGCCUGGAAUGCAAACUUCGGGUCCCUUGUUAGUAGAAAGAUGCACAGAUGCGGCUCUGUUGACUCAGUUGUUUAAAUACAUAUUGUCAAACAAAAUAUUUGCAGCACUGAUGCCAAGUUCCUCCUGACAUUCACAAUAAUAUUGAAUUUGACUCAACCAAACAAGUGUGACAAUAUGUGGAAUAAAAUUUCAUCUAGGUUUUUAUCUGGUUUCAAACUCUCUUAGAUUUAACACUCUUUUGUGGUUUUCAAUUUGAAACAGAAUUUGGCUAAGUUUUGGUGAUUGAAGCUGUAGAGCCAUUAAAUUAAAAAGGUAUGCUACUACUAUUUAAAGCGUCAUUUAGCUUAAUGCUAAAUUGUCCUUAAAAUUGUUCCAGUUUAAGCCUGCAAAAAGCUUUACAAUAUGAUCAUUUUCUGGAGAUCAUUUUUCUUGAAG
ensembl:lincRNA